AGACAAUCAGGAGGUUUGCCCAGAAGCAGCAAUCCUUUAAAGAGUGCGUAAUAGCUCACUGUUCGAGUGGUCCUGCGCCGAAAAUGACUGGGACUAAGUAAUUUGCCGAAGCUGUAAGAUGUUUAAACAUCGGUAGGGGAGCGUUCUACAUUAGUUUGAAGCGUUAGCGAAAGCGGGCGUGGACGAAGUAGAAGUGAGAAUGUCAGCUUGAGUAGCGAAAACAUUGGUGAGAAUCCAAUGCCCCGAAAACCUAAGGGUUCCUCCGGAAGGCUCGUCCGCGGAGGGUGAGUCAGGUCCUAAGGUGAGGCUGAAAAGCGUAAUCGAUGGAUAACAGGUUAAUAUUCCUGUACUGUUUAUUGUUGGUAAAGGGGGACGGAGAAGGCUAGGUCGACCGAAUGUUGGUUAUCGGCUUAAAUAUUCGAGGUUAUGAGGACUGGUGAAAACAGUCUGAGCUGAGAUAUGAAUAGGAAAGUGUCAAGACACUGAACCGGCUGAUGUCAUACUUCCAAGAAAAGCCCUAACUACCACAAACAAUAAAUACCUGUACCCUAAACCGACACAGGUGGGUAAGUAGAGAAUACUAAGGGGCGCGAGAUAACUCUCUCUAAGGAACUCGGCAAAAUGGCCUCGUAACUUCGGGAGAAGAGGUACCCUUUAUUGGGUUGCAAGAACCAGACGCUGGCGACUGUUUACCAAAAACACAGGUCUCCGCAAAGUCGUAAGACGAUAUAUGGGGGCUGACACCUGCCCAGUGCCGGAAGGUUAAGGAAGCUUGUUAGUCUUUGACGAAGCUCGCGACUGAAGCCCCGGUGAACGGCGGCCGUAACUAUAACGGUCCUAAGGUAGCGAAAUUCCUUGUCGGGUAAGUUCCGACCCGCACGAAAGGUGUAACGAUCUGCGUACUGUCUCGGAGAGAGACUCGGCGAAAUAGACUUGUCUGUGAAGAUGCGGACUACCUGCACCUGGACAAAAAGACCCUAUGAAGCUUUACUGUAGCUUGAGAUUGGCUCCGGGCUUUAUUUGCGCAGGAUAGGUGGGAGGCGUUGAAGAUCUUCUUGCGGGGAGAUUGGAGCCAUUGGUGAGAUACCACUCUAAUAAAGCUAGGAUUCUAACCCUAUACCGUUAUCCGGUUAGGGAACAGUUUCAGGUGGUCAGUUUGACUGGGGCGGUCGCCUCCCAAAAGGUAACGGAGGCGUGCAAAGGUUUCCUCAGACUGGUCGGAAAUCAGUCGUAGAGUGUAAAGGCAUAAGGAAGCUUGAUUGUGAGACCUACAAGUCGAACAAAGACGAAAGUCGGCCUUAGUGAUCCGACGGUUCCGAGUGGAAGGGCCGUCGCUCAACGGAUAAAAGUUACUCUAGGGAUAACAGGCUGAUCUCCCCCAAGAGUUCA
rnacentral:rRNA from 1 species